rnacentral:rRNA from 1 species
UACGAAGGGGGCUAGCGUUGUUCGGAUUUACUGGGCGUAAAGGGCGCGUAGGCGGAUUUUUAAGUCGGGGGUGAAAUCCUGGAGCUCAACUCCAGAACUGCCUUCGAUACUGGAGAGCUUGAGUCCGGGAGAGGUGAGUGGAACUGCGAGUGUAGAGGUGAAAUUCGUAGAUAUUCGCAAGAACACCAGUGGCGAAGGCGGCUCACUGGCCCGGUACUGACGCUGAGGUGCGAAAGCGUGGGGAGCAAACAGGG